rnacentral:tRNA from 1 species
GCGGGAGUGGCGGAAUUGGCAGACGCGCCAGAUUUAGGAUCUGGUAAGCAUCGCUUGUGGGGGUUCAAGUCCCCCCUCUCGCACCA